UAAAAACUUAAAAUUUAAAAGACUUGACGGUACUUCACACCGACCUAGAGGAGCCUGUCAAAUAACCGAUAACCCACGAUUAACCCAACCUUUUCUAGCCAACAGUCUAUAUACCGCCGUCGCCAGCUUACCUUGUGAAAGAAACAAAGUAAACCAAACAGUACCCCACUAAUACGACAGGUCGAGGUGUAACUAAUGAAAAGGGCCAAGAUGGGCUACAUUUUCUAUACAGAAUAAACGGAUCAACUAUGAAACUAAAAAUGAAGGCGGAUUUAGCAGUAAGAUAAGAACAAAAUACUUAACCGAAACUAACGAAAUGAAGUGCGC
rnacentral:rRNA from 1 species